GGAGGAAAAGCCAUAGCUCAGUGGUAAAGCACCUGCAUUGCAUGCAAAAGGUUCCAGGUUCAAUCCCUGGAAUCCCCCCA